AAGCUAGAGGUGUCAGAA
rnacentral:snRNA from 1 species